rnacentral:rRNA from 1 species
UAAUACAUGCAAGUCGAACGCGUCUCCGUUAAUGAUUUUAGGUGCUUGCACUUGAAAGAUUUAACAUUGAGACGAGUGGCGAACUGGUGAGUAACACGUGGGUAACCUGCCCUUGAAGUAGGGGAUAACACUUGGAAACAGGUGCUAAUACCGUAUAACAACCAAAACCACCUGGUUUUGGUUUAAAAGACGGCUUCGGCUGUCACUUUAGGAUGGACCCGCGGCGUAUUAGCUUGUUGGUAAGGUAACGGCUUACCAAGGCGAUGAUACGUAGCCGACCUGAGAGGGUAAUCGGCCACAUUGGGACUGAGACACGGCCCAAACUCCUACGGGAGGCAGCAGUAGGGAAUCUUCCACAAUGGACGAAAGUCUGAUGGAGCAACGCCGCGUGAGUGAUGAAGGGUUUCGGCUCGUAAAACUCUGUUGUUGGAGAAGAACAGGUGUCAGAGUAACUGUUGACAUCUUGACGGUAUCCAACCAGAAAGCCACGGCUAACUACGUGCCAGCAGCCGCGGUAAUACGUAGGUGGCAAGCGUUGUCCGGAUUUAUUGGGCGUAAAGCGAGCGCAGGCGGUUUUUUAGGUCUGAUGUGAAAGCCUUCGGCUUAACCGGAGAAGUGCAUCGGAAACCGGGAGACUUGAGUGCAGAAGAGGACAGUGGAACUCCAUGUGUAGCGGUGAAAUGCGUAGAUAUAUGGAAGAACACCAGUGGCGAAGGCGGCUGUCUGGUCUGUAACUGACGCUGAGGCUCGAAAGCAUGGG